UUUUUAUCGGAUGUCCCC
rnacentral:snRNA from 1 species